rnacentral:rRNA from 1 species
UACGUAGGUGACAAGCGUUGUCCGGAUUUACUGGGCGUAAAGAGCGCGCAGGCGGUCGUUCAAGUCGAGUGUGAAAGCCCCCGGCUCAACUGGGGAGGGUCAUUCGAUACUGAUCGACUCGAAGGCAGGAGAGGGUAGUGGAAUUCCCGGUGUAGUGGUGAAAUGCGUAGAUAUCGGGAGGAACACCAGUGGCGAAGGCAGCCCCCUGGGUCAAGAUUGACGCUCAUGCACGAAAGCGUGGGGAGCAAACAGG